rnacentral:misc_RNA from 1 species
AAGAUUCUGACCCUCGGGUCUACUUUCAGCUGUGCGCUUUGGCUGCACGCUGAUAAAUCUCAAACACCUGUGCACAUUUCGGUCGCGUUCCUGCAUGCAGGUUUGCUUCCGCCUUCACAUGCAACCACAUGUCUUGAAUGUAACAAACUAUAAAAGUAA